rnacentral:rRNA from 1 species
UACGUAGGGUGCAAGCGUUAAUCGGAAUUACUGGGCGUAAAGCGUGCGCAGGCGGUUAUGUAAGACAGGUGUGAAAUCCCCGGGCUUAACCUGGGAACUGCAUUUGUGACUGCAUAGCUAGAGUACGGUAGAGGGGGAUGGAAUUCCGCGUGUAGCAGUGAAAUGCGUAGAUAUCGAGAGGAACACCUGCGGCGAAGGCGGGUUGCUGGGCCGACACUGACGCUGAUGCGCGAAAGCCAGGGGAGCGAACGGG